rnacentral:tRNA from 1 species
GGUUUGUAGUUCAGUGGUAGAGUGCUUGCCUAGCACGUGUGAGGCACUGGGUUAGAUCCUCAGCACCA